CAGGCUCCAGCAUCCUUGACAGAGCUGUGAUUGAACACAACCUCCUGUCUGCGAGUAAACUCUACAACAACAUCACUUUUGAAGAACUAGGAGCACUGUUGGAAAUCCCUCCAGCAAAGGCUGAGAAGAUUGCAUCCCAGAUGAUCACUGAAGGACGCAUGAAUGGCUUCAUUGACCAAUAGAUGGAAUUGUACACUUUGAGACUCGUGAACCCCUUCCUACCUGGGACAAACAGAUCCAGUCUCUGUGUUUCCAAGUCAACAACCUCCUAGAAAAGAUCCGUCAGGCUGCUCCAGAGUGGGCCGCUCAAGCUAUGGAAACCCAGAUGACCCAGUAAACAUCCCCACCCAAAAAAAAAAAAAAAAAAAAUCCCCUAAAUGGCUCCUCAGCAAGUUUUGUCUUCCUGUUCAACAACAUCACCACUUGAGUCACGGUAAUGGAAGCACCCACUUAGAACCCUCUGGUAUCACCAUCACUCAUUUGAGAUGUUUCUCUUUUUGGUAAAUUCUCAGUGAGCACUGUUUUAUUACUUUGGGCCAUGGGAAUAACAAUUCAACAUUUCUCAAUAUUUCAGAUCUGUCUGGCAUAGAUGUAAUCACAGGAGAGGUAUUGUGUAACCUCUGGGUGUGACCUUGGUUAUGAUUCUUCAGAUAGUUGUCUUGUCAUGUCAUUGGGUCAAAAAGAAGUGAAAAGAUGCGAACAAUCGGUCUAUUUAAGCUUUUGCGUUCAAACACAUUCUCGUGUUUUUAACUUAACAAACUUUACAAAUGAAACAGCAAUAUCUGUCAAGUAGCUCUUGAUUUGUUGUGUCUUGCACAUCUCCUGGUCCACCCUAAUGUAAUUUCAGCAAAGAGAAAUAAAUUCAAAGCCGAGAGAAA